rnacentral:rRNA from 1 species
UACAGAGGUCUCAAGCGUUGUUCGGAUUCAUUGGGCGUAAAGGGUGCGUAGGCGGCGCGGUAAGUCGGGUGUGAAAUCUUGGAGCUUAACUCCGAAACUGCAUUCGAUACUGCCGUGCUUGAGGACUGGAGAGGAGACUGGAAUUCAUGGUGUAGCAGUGAAAAUGCGUAGAGAUCAUGAGGAAGACCAGUGGCGAAGGCGGGUCUCUGGACAGUUCCUGACACUGAGACACGAAGGCCAGGGGAGCAAACGGG